UCAGUGUCCUGGGAAGGAGGAGGAGGAGGAACAGGAGAGGGAAACAGGGGAAGAAGGGAAACUCAGCCCCGGAGUUAAUAUAAACUACAAGCGUGCAGACACCCAGGAAAGUUGAGGGCCGAAGAUCACUGCAGAUGCAGACUGCAGCCAGGAAAUCAGAAGACAUUUACUUCUUGGGAGGAGAGCAAUGGCCAACUUUGACAAAAUAGUGAAGAGCAGAGACAUCACACUGGCAAUGAAGGUCAGCAUAGUCAAAGCAAUGGUAUUCCCCAUAGUAACCUAUGGAUGUGAGAGCUGGACCAUAAGGAAGGCUGAGCGAAGGAAGAUAGACACUUUUAAACUCUGGUGCUAGAGGAAAAUCCUGAGAGUGCCUUGGAGGAGACAGGAAAGCUUGGAAAUGAUCACGAUGCUGGGGAAAAUGGAAGGAAAAAGGAAGAGAGGCCGACCAAGGGCAAGAUGGAUGGACGGUAUCCUUGAAGUGACUGAGUUGACAUUGAAGGAACUGGGGGCGGUGAUGGCCUACAGGGAGCUCUGGCGUGGACUGGUCCAUGAGGUCACGAAGAGUCGGAGACGACUAAACGACUGAGCAGCAGCAGACAAAGAGGGAGGGAAGAUAUAAUAAUGAAGUGAGGGGGAAAAUACUACAAAUAGCAAUAAAAUAGCUUAAAGUAUUAUGAAACCAUUAAUAAUGUUUUGCAUUUAUUUAGGUGUUCUGACUUAUUAACAGAAGAGGACCAAUGUCCCCCUGAAGAUAUGGGUUCUUUGUGUGGAUUUUUUACUUAAAAAAGAGAUUGUAAACCAUGGCCUAAUUUUGAAAGUAUAAGAAAUGAAAUGAGUAAAUAUACUUCUUCCAUUGAAAAAAACAGUAAAAAGACAACACUUCUUGCUGAAGAGGAAACCUGACAUUGGGAAGCUUGUUGUCUUGAAAAUUAUACAUAAAUUCAAGGAAAAAUACAUAGAAUUGCAUACAGUCUUAGCAUUUAACAAACAGAGUAACAUGAAAUGAAACAGGUAAACUGUCUCUGUCAAUAUUUUUCAGCAAUGUGUUUGCACAAGUCGACAGGACAGAAGUAAAGGAAAAAGUCAUUUGGUAACUUGAUUGACAUCCAUUAAUAGUAAGAUGGAUGUCGAUCUUGCUGUCUGUGAAAAAUAAGAACUACUUUUUUUUCAAGACAUCAGGCUGUUGGCAAGUAGCUGUGAGGGAAGGGAGGGCAUUGGAGCAAUCGUGGUACAGCUAUGGGAACAGGGUGCUCCAAAUAAGAAUUUUAUCUCCACAAUGAAAUUUUAUUUCAAUCCUCAUAUUUUAAACAACACAUGGACUUAAAACUUAAGUUGAGCAAAGAAAAGGAGAAGGCAAAGCUACCACAGGAUUGUGAACAUAGCAAAUAUAAGAAUCCUGUGUUGGGACAUGCUGGAAAUUUGAAGACUACAGGAAAAUAUUAUGGAGAAGGAGAAUUUUGCCCCUUCCCAUUUUUAUUUGAAGGGACAACGUCCUCAUUUUACUCUUUUCCAGCUAUACUCCUGGAGACAUUCUCCUCAGAGCUGGCAGAAUUUGUCUGCUUCCUCUAUCUACCACCCUGUAAAAGAGAAACAGGUUGCCCAAAGUACCCAAGACUGGCUCAUGUUUGUGCCAGAAAAAUUACCAGUGUAUUCUCUUGUCCUUUUUGCCAGUAAAAAUACAAGUAUAAUAAAUUAAAUAAUUAACAUUGGCUUUAUUUACAUCCUAAAACCAGCUGUUUGAGGCAGCUGUUUCACUCUGUCUGAUGGCAUUAUUGGCCUCUUCCUUCUUUGAAAACUGACUGAAUAAUUUUUUCUCUCAACUUCUAUAUAAAUCCUUGUUAUCCAAAAUCUAAAAUGCAUUAUUCAAGUGUGAUGAUACGACACAAUGACAAAUGAUUGCAACCGUAUUUUGGUGACUUUCUCAGAGACCUGAACUGUACCCUUCUGGUGUGUGAUGUGUGAUAAGUAACAACACAAAACAGAACCUUUCUAAUAGUGGUCCCAAAUUAUCACAUAGCAAUGGUUUCUGGCUCUCCAGUAAUGAAUAAAAGUAGCUUUUUGUGGAUUUAUUUGCUGCUGAUUUUGUUACAAAUUAGCAGCAUUUUCUUUUUGUUUGAAUUACCAUUUUAAUUGUGUUGCAAAGAUGUUUGGUGGCUUUGGAAAUUAUGCAUUGUAAUUUAACAUUUCUUAUUAACUGGCUUGAAGAUAGAAAACUAAAUUGCGCUAUUGAAAGAUGAUUUUAUUGACUAUAUUGGCAAAGGCGCUCUUGGAGUAUUGAUGCCAAGGCAUUGCUCAGGAGAAAGGUUAUUUCCUACACAUUUUCCUUUUCUCUCAUCUGGAUUUUGAAACAAAUGUAGAAUCAAGAUGGAUAAAGACUGAAUGUUUGAGGUUUUUAAAAAGAUCUUAAAAUAUUAGCAUGAAAAUUAUAUCUUCAUUUUCUCUGUUGCGCGCAUGAUUACCUUAUGUUUAUAAUUCUAUACAUGUUAAGCACUUUGAAACCUUUCAUGGCCAGAAAGGUUAUUAAUAAAUACCUUAGUAAUUAAAUUGGCACAUUGUGGUUUUAACUAUUCUUAUGCACAAUGAGAAAGACCUCUUUUUUUAAAAAAAUAAAGUAUUUAUUCAUCUGAAAUCCAUGUGGUUUAUUCCCAAUUAAAUGUGUAUAGAUUCAUACCUCAAAAUAAGGUUGUAUUUUCCAUUUUCCAUUUCCAAAUAAUGAAAACUGAUGUAUCCUGCCUAGUGAAUAGAACUGGGUAAAUAUUGGCUAGCAGAUAAACAGAAUUUACUGAACAGAACCUUAAUUUCUCAAAUAUGAAUCAACUGUAAAGCAUUUUUUUCCAUGUGAAGGCACAUAUAGCACCAGAGCUUUAGCAAUUAAGUUGGAGUGAGAGUAAUUUAGCUACUCAGGUUGCACCUUAAUUCUAGUAAUUUCGGCAUUUAAAAUAACACAAAACUGUAUUUUAGGAAAUAAUGCAUGCAUAUACAUUCCUGAAUGCAUACAAGUCAGACACAGAUGCAACUUUCAUAUUCACAAAGAAAAUGCAACUUGCAUCUAUGGAAUUGUGGUGGUGGGAGAUAAUUUCACUUACUUCUUAUUUAAUAAAAGUUGGGCAUGUUAUAAAAAUAUUUGCUAAAUGAACAGAUAUUCAGCAAAGUGAUAAAAAAAAUUUGAAGCAAAGUGAAAUAAGGUUGAUUGGUGACCUCUUAAACCCAGAUGGGACAAUUAAAGAUUGGGAUAUGAUAAAAGACAAGUGUCAACAAAGCAAUUGGCUGUAAUGGAAUGGUUUGAAACAAAGGAUUAUAGAAGGGAGGAGAAAGGAAUGUCCACAGAUUUUGAUCAGAUAUUAAAAAGGAAAUUAGAGAAGGAGAAAGGCUUGAUGGGUUUCAUUUAUAAGAAAAUAAAUGUCAGCAUACCAUCAGAAGAUAGGACUCCCAGGUCGGAAGAUGGUCAAAAUGCUACAGGGGAGGAACAGAGGAUAAAUCCAACCAGCCCCAGAUGAACCAUCUUGGAGAUUAAUACCAUCUGGGCAGGCCCUGCUCUCAAUCCCGCUUCCUUCACAGGUGUGAUUGGUGGGGAUGAGAGACAGGGCCUUCUCAGUGGUGGCCCCUCAGCUGUGGAACUCCCUCCCUAGCAACAUUAGAUCAGUUCCCUCCCUCCCAGCCUUCAGAAAGAAAGUAAAAACCUGGUUUUGGGAUCAGGCGUUUGAAGAAUAGUGUGAUAUCUCAGGCACCUUUGGCUCCUGACCCCGCGGCCAUUGCUGACCAAACUGAAGAAGACUUGGGUUUUUUUCCCAAGUCAGCAAGAUUCAAUUCCUUUCCAGAUGCCUACUGUUGACAUUUCUGUGCCAGAGCCAAUUAAGAAUGCGCUUGAGACAGUGCCGCCUCUCCCGGGUUCUCCAGAUGGUUUACUGUUUGAUCGAAAGGCUUUUCUGCAAACAGACCAUUUUCAUAAGCAAAGUUUGCGAUGAAGCGCCAGAUUAGCGGAGCGAGGCGAUUAUGGCUAGCCCAAUUCUCUUGGGAAGAAUUAGGAAGGCAGGCACCUGGUGCGAUGUCUUUGGCAGACCAGUUCUCUUGGGAAGAAUUGGGGAGUCCAGCACCUGCUCUGGGGAGCUUAUGAACUUCCAUAAAAGUUUUGCGCUGGAAACCUUCGGCGUGGUGUCAACUUAACUUCUGACUGGGAAGCAUUGUCAUCUCUUGUUCCUGAUCUCCAAGCGGCCUGAAGGUGCGCUUACUCUGGAGUAGACCGGGUGUUGGUCUACCUUCUUGCCAAGUUUGGGACUGUGUUUCAGCUCCCGAACAUCUAGUUUUGCCUUGCCCUGAAAUCCUGAAUUGGACAUUUAUUCUAAAGGACUCUUCUUGCUCCCUGCUCUUUUCCCCACUCAAAACUCGGACGGAGUUUGAGUGUGUUUCGGUUUCUGGAUUUUGAACUCUAAUACUGGACAUAAGACUUUAUCUUAUUGGACUAAAAUUGAUCUUUUCUGGAAGGUCAAUUGCUACUUUUACUUUGCUGCUUAAUUCCAUUUGGAACUUUAUUUGCUUUAAUAAAGAUAUGAUAUUGUUAUUGGCUUCUGUGUUGGUUCCCAGUGUUCGUGACGCCCAGGAGUGUUACAAAUAGUGGAGUGCAAUAAUAGUUUUGGAAUAUGUGCAAUGAUCAUGGAACGGCUUUACACUAUGAUUUCUGGAUGGUGUGAUUUUAAUAUUGAAUGUCAUGUUUUCAAAUGUUUAAUAUGUAUCAAUUUUAAUUCAAUUUAUUUUAAGUUUUAAGUUUAAUGUUUGUAUGUGUUUAAGGCAUUGAAUAAUUGCCAUUUAUAAGCCACCUUGAGUCCCCUUCGAGGUAGAGAAAGGCAGGAUAAAAAUAGGGAAAUAAAUAAAUAAAUAAAUAAAUAGGUCAAAGCCGAAAAAAGGCCUAAUGGCUGACAGUGCUGGAGAUGAAAGACAAACCCAAUGUUUUAAAGAUCCAUACCCUAUAGGAACCUGUAAUGGAAAUUCUAUAAGCCAGGGCAAACUGAAUGUUGUUAUUGGUGAGAUGUCAAGAUUAAAGAUAGACAUUCUGGAAGUCAAUGAACUAAAAUGGACUGGAAUUGGCCACAUCACAACAGAUGAUCACUGGUUCUAUUACUGUGGACCAGAGGCAAACCAAAAAAAUUGAGUAGCCUUCAUAAUCAAUAAUAAAGUAACUAAAGCGGUCCUUGGAUACAAUCCAAAAAUGAUAGAAUGAUCUCAGUUUGAGUUCAAGGUAAGCCAUUUAAUACCCCAGUGAUCCAAAUAUACAUCCCAACCACAGCUGCUGAAGAAGCAGAAGUAGAUCUGUUCUAUGAUGGUCUGCAGCAUCUAUUGGAUAAUACACCAAAAAGGGAUAUUAUUUUCAUUACAGGAGACUGGAAUGCUAAGGUGGGUAGCCUAAUGAAAACUGGUAUCACAGGCAAGCAUGGUCUGGGACAACAAAAUGAAGCGGGAUGAAGACUGAUAAAAUUUUGCCAGGAAAACUCACUGUGCAUAACAAACACUCUCUUCCAACAACCUAAAAGAUGGCUUUAUACAUAGACUUCACCAGAUGGUCAACACCGAAAACAGAUUAAUGACAUCCUUUGUAGCCAAAGGUGGUGGACAUCUAUCCAGUUGGUGAAAACAAGACCUGGAGCUGACUGUAGUUCAGAUCACAAACUUCUGAUUGCACAAUUUAGAAUCAGACUAAAGAGAUUGAGGAAAGCACACAGACCAGUUAGAUAUGUUUUCACUAAUAUUCCUAAUGAAUAUGCAGUAGAGGUGAAAAAUAGAUUUAACAAACUAGAUUUAAUUAAUAAAGUCCCAGAAAAACUAUGAAGUUUGGAACAUUGUUAAGGAAGCAGCAACAAAGUAUGUCCCAAAGAAAAAGAAAAUUAAGAAGACAAGAUGGUUGUCUGCUGAGACAUUGGAAGUAGCCCAAGAAAGAAGGAAAGCAAAAGGAAACAGUGAUAGGGGGAGAUAUGGCCAAUUAAAUGCACAAUUCCAGAGAUUAGCCAAAAGAGAUAAGGAACUAUUUUUAAACAAGCAAUGCAUAGAAGUGGAAGAAGAUAAUAAAACAUGAAGGACAAGAAAUCUCGUCCAGAAAAUUAGAAACACCAGAGGUAAAUUUCAGGCAAAAAUGGGUAUGAUAAAAAAUAAAGAUGGCAAGGUUCUAAAAGAACCUAAAGAGAUCAAAAGAAGGUGGCGAGACUAUACAGAAAAUCAGUUUGGGAAGGAUAACAAUAUUAAGGAUAGCUUUGAUGGUGUGGUGAGUGAAUUAGAACCAGCCUGAGGAGUGAAGUUGAAUGGGCCUUAGGAAGCAUUGCUGAUAAAAAGGCAGCAGGAGACAACGGGAUCCCAGCUGAACUGUUUAAAAUCUUGAAAGAAAAUCAUGGUGAUGCAUGCCAUAUGCCAGCAAAUAUGGAAAACACAAGAAUGACUAUCAGAUUUGAAAAAAUCUACUUAUAUCCCCAUACCAAAAAAGGGAAAUGCUAAAAAAAUGCUCAAACCUUCAUACAGUGACACUUAUUUCACAUGCCGAUAAGGUAAUGCUCAAGAUCCUGCUGGUUAGACUCCAGCCAUACAUGGAGCAAGAGUUGCUAGAUGUACAAGCUGGGUUUCAAAAGGGAGGAGGAAAGAGACACCAAAUUGCCAAUAUCUGCUGGAUAAUGGAGAAAAAUAUCUAUUUUUGUUUUAUUGACUAUUCUAAAGCCUAUGACUGUGUGGAUCAUAAUUAAUUGCGGCAAGUUCUUCCUGGUCUGGGGAUACCAAGUCACCUUGCCUGACUUCUGAGGAAUCUGAUUGCUAACUGGCAAAUAGAGGGAGAAAACGUUGUAUUUUUAGGCGCAAAAAUUACUGCAGACACAGACUGCAACCAGGAAAUCAGAAGUUUACUUCUUGGGAGAAGAGCAAUGAUUUUGUAAUUGGAGGCCCUUUCCCCCAUGACCAACUAAUGCUCUGGGGUCAGAGCGAAGAAGGGGAGUCAACAAGACAGUUCCACCUUGUCUCCUGUGCCAUCAGUUGGAGGCCCCUCCCCCCAUCACCAACUGAUGCUCUGAGUCCAGAGCGAAGGCGGGGAGCCAGGAAGACAGUUGGGGGCCCUUCUCCCAGUAACAUGCUAUGCUAAUAAUAUAUUAUGCUAUAUACACACACACACACACACACACACACACACACACACAAUAUGUUGUAGCUCAGCCUGAGUUGGAACCAGAGCCAGAUGUUAGGCCCAUCCAAGACUUUGAAUCUCGGCCUGUAAUUCAGCUAUGUUUACUUGAAUUGGUUUUUACAGAGGAUUCUGAAACCAGAGAGAAGCAUUCUUCUCUGCAGUCAAGGUCAGUUCAAAGACCAGAAGGAUAUGUUACCCCAGAGGAGGCUGAUGAUUUUGACAGAAGGGGAAUGUUUACCCAAGAAAGGAGCAGGAGGGAGUAUCAGAGAAGCCAGCGUCUGGUUCAGAAACACGCAAAUGAGCAACUUUCCCAUGAGAGGGAUAGCUCUCCCUAGUUUUCACUAAGAAUGUUAGCCUUGAAAUCUCCUCAAAUACUCCUUGCUUCCUCUGCUCAGCAGAGGUGCCAACUUUGCAAUUCAAGCGAGAAAGAUCUCUCUUUAUGCUCUUGCAUUCGUGAAUUUCAAGCCAAGAUCCUGCCUUGUGGAUUUCAAGUAUCUCCAGUCUUGUCAACCUUGCUUCCAGUUGGACCUUCCUGAUUCCUUGCCUUGUGGAUUAUAGUUUCUUGGAUUACCUUGAGUUUGGUUCUUGCUUCUUGUGGCUUCCUGCUGUUUCCUGCUUGGAAAGGGAACUCUGUGUGGACUACCUUUGAUACUUCUUGUGGGACUAAGCACAGUUCCAGUUUGGAUUAAAUCUGCAAUAGACUUUCUUGGACUUCUGUUUAAGGACAGAUAAGUAUAUUGCUGGGUGGUUCAUCCACUCUAUUGACUUUGAACUAUACUUUCAUCCACUCUAUUGACUUUGAACUCUAUUUGCUUGUUCUUACUUAUAUUCUAUAAUAAACAGCUUGAUUACUUAUAA